UUGUCUGACUGACACCCAAGAUUGCCUUGUAAAUUCCCUCUGAAUAAAUAUUUGACUACUUACCAACCUUGAAGGGUCUGCCUCUUUCUUUGGCCUGAGCUUAUGAAGAGCAGUUCUUGGUUCUGACAAAGUGUUUUCCCAAUACAAAGGGUUUAGACCCUCUAAGGAUGCAUAACUAGCCAAGGCAGAAAACCAGUCUCUUUGCCACAUAAGAUUUUAAUUCCAACAUUACUCCACAAUUAAUUGAUAAUAUACUAUAUCAUCUUUAUUUUUACUAUUGUUAGUUAAAAAUGUGGGUUUUUUGUUUGUUUGUUUCUUUCAAGUCAAGAAUCUACUAUAGCUGUUUAUGGUCUAUCAUAUUAGAUCUAAAUUCCAGUUGUUAUUUAAAUUUUUCAAUCUAGUAUCACCUAAUAUGAAUUAUCUCUCCAAUUAAUUUGGUUUCAGGUUAUUUUUCACUGAAGCCAGGGAGUACAAAUUAGGUCUGAAACCUGUAAGUUUUAAAACAGGGUCUGCCUUGGGAAAUCUAGGGCAUCAGGUUCUUAGAUGAUAGGACAAUGCAAGCCAGGCAGUAGUGUCUUAGCUAAGCACCCUCUGAGCCAGUGAGCAGUUGGCUCUAUUUAAAUCAGUUAAAAAUAGACUAACCAGCAGUUAAAAUUUUCAGCACAGCAAAAAGCAGUGAGGACAAGGUUUAUUCUUUGAUCUCUAAAGGUUUGCUUCAUUGAGCCUGAUAAUGGUGCAUGACGUGAAGAAUGUUAGCUAUACUGUGGUCUCACAUUACCUUGGUUUUACUUAGUCAUCAGUGUAAUUUAUCUAAGGGCAACUUGCCGCUAAAAAAAGAGCUCAGCUUGAAGGCUUCUAGCUUACACAGCAGGAGUUUCUGGAAAUUUUACUGCUGGUGGUGGUGGAUAGAAGGCAGAGAUAUGGCCAGUAUCAAACGAGAUUAUGUCCUGGGAAUUCAGAGAUUACAGUCUGAAGAAUUCAAGGAAUCAGCUGUGCCAGAUGGAAUCUUUCAGCACAGAUGUCCUUGGAAUAAGGACAGGAUGAAAGCAAAUCUGGGUGAGGAGCUAGUGAAAGGCAGUAUGGACUCACCAGCUGGCCCUGAGCACCGAUUCCUCCAUAUUCCUCCAUCUUAUAAACUAUGA
rnacentral:lncRNA from 1 species